CUCCCGACUGUUUACCAAAAACACAGCACUCUGCUAACUCGUAAGAGGAUGUAUAGGGUGUGACGCCUGCCCGGUGCUCGAAGGUUAAUUGAUGGGGUUAGCAUUAGCGAAGCUCUUGAUCGAAGCCCGAGUAAACGGCGGCCGUAACUAUAACGGUCCUAAGGUAGCGAAAUUCCUUGUCGGUUAAAUACCGACCUGCAUGAAUGGCGUAACGAGAUGGGAGCUGUCUCAAAGAGGGAUCCAGUGAAAUUGUAGUGGAGGUGAAAAUUCCUCCUACCCGCGGCAAGACGGAAAGACCCCGUGGACCUUUACUACAGCUUGACACUGCUACUUGGAUAAGAAUGUGCAGGAUAGGUGGGAGGCUUUGAGUAUAUGACGCCAGUUGUAUAUGAGCCAUUGUUGAGAUACCACUCUUUCUUAUUUGGGUAGCUAACCAGCUUGAGUUAUCCUCAAGUGGGACAAUGUCUGGUGGGUAGUUUGACUGGGGCGGUCGCCUCCCAAAUAAUAACGGAGGCUUACAAAGGUUGGCUCAGAACGGUUGGAAAUCGUUCGUAGAGUAUAAAGGUAUAAGCCAGCUUAACUGCAAGACAUACAAGUCAAGCAGAGACGAAAGUCGGUCUUAGUGAUCCGGUGGUUCUGUGUGGAAGGGCCAUCG
rnacentral:rRNA from 1 species